ensembl:miRNA
ACAGAGAUACACGUUUUCUUUGCUAAGUCCCUUCUUUCUAUCCUAGUAUAACUUGAAGAAUUCAAAUAGUCAUGCUAGGACAGAAAGAAUGGGAGUUGGCAAGGGAAGAAGA